rnacentral:lncRNA from 1 species
AAUAUAAAACUAUACAAAACACUCAAUACACUCAAAAUUAGGAGUCAUCGCCUUCUCUUGGGCUAACACUUCUGGGCUCCUCAACCACAGGUGUGUGGACGGGACCAUGUCUUUUACAACACGACUAUUUUUACCCACUACACCACUUCUAGGCUCAUCAUAUGCGGCUUCUUCAUUAACUUGACGUUGUAAAUGUUCCAUCCUAGCUUCUAUUUCAUUCAUAUCCACAGGCAUAAACUUAGACAGCAUUUCAAACGCG